UUUGCUUGUAAUGACGUCAGCACAUCCGCAUGUCUGGAGUUUGUCGCACAAAACCCAGCGAUGUGUGACGAUGGGAGUUGUUACGCAACCCUAUGUUCAAGAACCUGUCACAAAUGUGAAAGGAAACACGUGAGCACUAAUUUCUAUUCUGAUUACAACAAGUACAUUUAAAAGAAUCUGUAUAAUAGAGUAGUUUUUUAUCAACAAUUUGUACAAGUUUCCGACUAAAGUAACCUUUGCCUCAUUUUACUUUAAUCUUUAUAAAUGACUUGUGUGUUGUUAUACGAUUGCUAAAUGAUUACAAAAUUAAUCUUAGUUAUUAGAUAUGAACAUUUAACAUAGUGUUUUGAAGAUAAUUGAACCUGGCUUAAAGAGAUCAAUAUUUUCGUAAAUCAAAAUUGUGAAAAUUAAACGAGUAUUUUGUUUUAUUUUGAGCUUUAAAAUGCUACUCGUGUGGAGCUGUGACUAGACCUGAGAACUGCAACACAACAAUAGAGUGUCCAAGCAAGGAAUUCGUGAGCUAGUGUUUCACAUACUUUUUGUUCAUUCAUUUCUGUAUACAUACGUUAUAUUUAUCUCUCCAUAUCUGUCAAAUGUUCUACGAAAAAACUUCAUAAUCAAAGUACAUGUUUAUAAUUAAAAGGUUGAAGCAAAUCAUACCUAAUGAUCCCACCCCCCUCCAAAAAAAUUCGUUUGAAUUGUUGAAUACCAAAUUACUGAAUUGUUUUGCACGUCUUAGGAAUGUGUUCUAUCAAAGUCUUUUGCGCAAGACUCUACAGAAGUAUUUGCACUUGGGUGUGCUUUAGGAAAUGUUUGUGACAAUGACAACGGCAAUACGAUGUGUUGUUCCAAUGACUUGUGUAACAACAACAAAACCCAGCCAACAACAACAACAACAGCCAGAAAGCUUUCUGUUAGGAGGGAAAACAAAAAAAAAGUUGUGAGACAGACCGCUGCCUCCUGCUCAGACAUUCACCCCGACGCUUGUCGAGACCUUCUGUCCUCAGAUGCCAACAUAUGUAACACAACUUGUGCCAAAACAAUUUGCCCUGUUACGUGCGGUGCCUGCAAACAUUGCUAUGACUGUGACUAUGUUUCUGAUUCCAGUCAGUGUACCUCCACACGUCUUUGUCAACAAGGGGAGGUAAUUGUUACGGAAUAGAAACAAUCACUGCGUACUCUGAGCACGGUUUUCGGCUUGGAUGUGCACCCGAUUUAUUAUGCAGCCAUUUAGCUUCUAUGGCGGUGAACACGUUUGGACGUAAGCGGGCUUUGGCAGGUGCGUGUUGUGAUGGUAACCUCUGUAACAGCAAUCUUAAGGCCGUGACAACCACGACAACAACGACAACAACAACGACGACGACACCAACAACCACAACAACAAGAACAACAAGAACAACAACAACCAAAGAUCCAUUAUGCCAGUGCAAAGGAACCAAUCAUUUCCAAGUCAGCAAUGAGUGCUACUUCAUAUCGAGUACACACGGGACACGGCAGCACGGGAAGGAAUAUUGCAAAAGACACUGCGGGCACCUGGCCACCUUUACGGAUCCCUCCCAAUUGUCGGCUGUCACACACCACAUCUACUUAUUGAAACAUGGAACAUCUGGCUCCUUCUCUGAUUUCUUUGGUUACCAUCAAUACGACCACAUGUUUGUGGACGCAAUGAAACAUACCAGUAGUCACACACACCCUACAUACAUUUGGGAGUCCACUGGAAGGACGGUCUCCUCUAGUUUCCUGUCCAACGUGCAAGGCACUUACAGUGAUAUGUGUGCUAUCACAUACAGCUUGCACUCGAGUCACAUCCAGGCUGCGAGUUGCACUGCCUCUCAUUAUGCUCUUUGUCAGCUUAAAAACCAUUAAACAUUUAGAUGUCUCCUU
rnacentral:misc_RNA from 1 species